UGCCAUUAAAGACUUCAGUGUGCAGC
rnacentral:piRNA from 1 species